rnacentral:rRNA from 1 species
AGCGAACGCUGGCGGCAGGCCUAACACAUGCAAGUCGAACGGACCCUUCGGGGUUAGUGGCGGACGGGUGAGUAACACGUGGAACGUGCCCUUUGGUUCGGAACAACUCAGGGAAACUUGAGCUAAUACCGAAUGUGCCCUUUGGGGGAAAGAUUUAUCGCCAUUGGAGCGGCCCGCGUCUGAUUAGCUAGUUGGUGGGGUAAUGGCCUACCAAGGCUACGGUCAGUAGCUGGUCUGAGAGGAUGAUCAGCCACAUUGGGACUGAGACAGGGCCCAAACUCCUACGGGAGGCAGCAGUGGGGAAUCUUGCGCAAGGGGCGAAAGCCUGACGCAGCCAUGCCGCGUGAAUGAUGAAGGUCUUAGGAUUGUAAAAUUCUUUCACCGAGGACGAUAAUGACGGUACCCGGAGAAGAAGCCCCGGCUAACUUCGUGCCAGCCGCCGCCGUAAAAC